ACCCCAAUAUAAGUGACCUCCAGAGAAAAAAGAAUUAGGGGAGAGAAAAGAGAGCACAAAUGAUAUCGAAGGGAGAAAAAAUGGUAUAAGAGAAAAGAAAAAGAAGAAAAAGAAAGAAAAAGGAGAAAAAAAUAUAUGGGAAGAAAACAACAGAGAACAAACAGGGUAUAGACUGGGUGUGGCUGUAUUGGUUGCCUGGAAACUGCAGGGAGGGGCUAUCUCUUCAGGAGAAAUUGGCUGCCCGGGUCCUGUGCAUCAGGUAUGACUCAGUGCCAGAAUUGGGGCCACCUCUCCUGGGCCCUCUCCUCACUCCAGCCUCUCCCCAGACUCCACAAGUCUACACCUCCUCCUGCACCUCAGCCACGGCUUCCCUAAAACCACCUUCCACUGCAUCACAGCCUUG